GGGGAUUUAGCUCAGUGGUAGAGCACUUGCCUAGCAUGCUUGAAGCCUUUGGUUCAAUCCCCA
rnacentral:tRNA from 1 species